GAUCAGUCGGCUACAGGACGAACGCUGGCGGCGUGCUUAACACAUGCAAGUCGAACGGUGAACCAGGGCUUGCCCUGGGGAUCAGUGGCGAACGGGUGAGUAACACGUGGGCAACCUGCCCCUGACUCUGGGAUAACUCCUCGAAAGAGGUGCUAAUACCGGAUACGACCACUUCGGGCAUCCGAUGGUGGUGGAAAGAAUUUUGGUCAGGGAUGGGCCCGCGGCCUAUCAGCUUGUGUGGGGUAACGGCCCACCAAGGCGACGACGGGUAGCCGGCCUGAGAGGGCGACCGGCCACACUGGGACUGAGACACGGCCCAGACUCCUACGGGAGGCAGCAGUGGGAAAUAUUGCGCAAUGGGCGAAAGCCUGACGCAGCGACGCCGCGUGAGGGACGACGGCCUUCGGGUUGUAAACCUCUUUCAGCAGGGACGAAGCGAAAGUGACGGUACCUGCAGAAGAAGCACCGGCUAACUACGUG
rnacentral:rRNA from 1 species